rnacentral:rRNA from 1 species
GACGAACGCUGGCGGCGUGCUUAACACAUGCAAGUCGAACGAAGUGGCGAACGGGUGAGUAACGCGUAAUCAACCUGCCCUUCAGAGGGGGACAACAGUUGGAAACGACUGCUAAUACCGUAUACUGAAGGAGGGGAUUGCGUCUGAUUGGCUAGUUGGAGGGGGAACGGCCCACCAAGGCGAGGAUCAGUAGCCGGUCUGAGGGGAUGAACGGGCACAUUGGGACUGGGACACGGCCCAUCCUCCUACGGGAGGCAGCAGUGGGGAAUCUUCCGCAAUGGACGGAAGUCUGACGGGGCAACGCCGCGUGAGUGAUGACGGCCUUCGGGUUGUAAAGCUCUGUUAAUCGGGACGCGGUACCGGAAUAGAAAGCCACGGCUAACUACGUGCCAGCAGCCGCGGUAAUUC